CUCUUAUCGAGAGUUGGGUGAAGGACUGGCCUAAUGAUCCCAACAGCAACCGACCGUAAUACCAUUGUGAAAUGGGGCGCGAAUCUCUGCGCCGCUAGGGCACGGUGCUAAUUCCAUCAGACUUUGAAUUCUGAGAGAUAAGAG
rfam:Bacillus licheniformis ATCC 14580, complete genome.